rnacentral:rRNA from 1 species
GAUUUCUGGUUUGACGUACCUGUCCCGCUGCGGUAACGUAUGUGUGUGACGGAGUACGUCUACCAUCCUUCUAGAGAAUAUAAGCUAUCCUUUACUGGACCGGUUUAUAUCAUCUAGAUCUUUUACUUUGAAAAAAUUAGAGUGUUUCAAGCAGGCGUUUUGCUAUGAAUACAUUAGCAUGGAAUAAUGAGUUAGGACUUCGGUUCUAUUUUGUUGGUUUCUAGGACUGAAGUAAUGAUUGAUAGGGAUAGUUGGGGGUGCUAGUAUUCAGCGGCCAGAGGUGAAAUUCUUGGAUUCGGUCAAGACUAACUUAUGCGAAAGCAUU